AAGUCGUAACAAGGUUUCUGUAGGUGAACCUGCAGAAGGAUCAUUAGUGAAGAUUCAAGGGCCAGCCAUACAGACGUACAAUAAGUGUGUCUCUGGCGGCUCGCAUCCACUAUACAUCCAUAAACCCGUGUGCACUGUUCUAAGGAGUAAGAAAGAAGAAGGGGAGGGGAGAGAGAGAGUGCAUGUGCUUUGCAUAUAACUCUCUCUCGCUCUCCACUCUCUUUCUCUCUCCGGUUAAUUACAAACUCGUAUGGAUUUGUAUGAACGUGAGAUAUAUCGUUGGACCGUCACUGGCCAACAAAUAUAACACAACUUUCGACAACGGAUCUCUUGGUUCUCC
rnacentral:misc_RNA from 1 species